rnacentral:tRNA from 1 species
GGGCUGGUAGCUCAGAUGGUUAGAGCACUACGCUGAUAACGUAGAGGUCGCCGGUUCAAAUCCGGUCCAGCCCA